CCAGCAGCUGCCGGACAGAAUGACAGAAGGUAUGAGGGGCUUAGAACUUGCCACGCCCUGUCAGAGACCACGGCACAGGCACUCUCACAGUAGGAGGAACAGAUGAAUCAUAAUCCUCCAUAGGAAGGAUUGCUGAGGCCGAAAUGGCUUUUUCCAUUCAAUCAAGGCAUUUUCUGUACAGCGGCUGUGUGGAAGCAUCCAUUCAGAAGAGUGUAUUGAACAGCUAGCGCUUGAGAAUGCAAACCUUAAAGGAAGUCGUGCUGGCUUGAGUGACUCUAGCUGUGUGGUUAUGUUACCGCCUACACAGCGGGGACCAGAUAAAGGUCACAUCAAUAGAGGUAAAUGUCCAUACUAGAGGAGCACGGCCCGAGCUAGGCAAUUACCCCCACUGGGACUAUGCACAGUCACUGGGGCCAAGCUCCUGCUUAG
ensembl:lncRNA